UUAAAAGCUGUUUUUCCAAAGACAGUAGGUGCUAUUUUUAGCGUAAGUUUUUCGCCUACCGAGGAUGAUCGCAAUAAACUUUUGAUUGUUUUUGCUUCUUUUUCUCGGCAGGAAAAGAAGCUUUUUAUUUG
rnacentral:sRNA from 1 species